rnacentral:misc_RNA from 1 species
CCUCUUUCCCCUUGCUGUGCCCCACGCCUAACGCAAGCGAACCUUCGUCCUCCGUCGCUCCACCCUUCCCCCUUUUUUCCCCCACCCCCUCACGUGCUGCUCUCGUCCGAGACAAGCGUGUCGGUGUGUCCCCCAUCAAAAGUGCUUGUUUAACAGCUUCGUCUGCUGUCCCUUGUCGCACUUCUCGUGCUUUUUCUGUUUAAUUCCCUCCCUUUUUAAUUUUUCUUUUAUAUUUUCACGUUGCUGCCAUCCGUGUGCGCUCCUCCGCCGACAUAUCCGCGUGGAUAGUGAGCACAACCGAAAGCACCAACCAAAAAAAAACAUCAUCGUCCAGAACGAAAACGUAUCUGGCCACCACCUCGCAUCGCUAUUAUGCUUCGCCGUAACUUCUGGCGCCUCGUCGGCCUCAACAAGGUACAGUCCUUGGAGGAGGCCGUCGCGGACAUGACGGACGGCAUCUCUGUCGCGGUCGGCGGAUUUGGCUGCAGUGGUGUGCCGGACGCUGUCAUCAGCGCCAUGUGCAAAAAGGGUGUAAAGGAGAUGAUUCUCUACACGGACUCGGCGGGUAUCGACGGCUUUGGUCUCGCCCGUCUCAUCGAGACGAAGCAGGUGCGCCGCAUGUGCUGUUCGUUUGUGGGCAUGAACAAGAUCUUUAAGAGGCGCUACCUCGAGGGCGACGUUGAGCUGGAGUUUGUGCCGCAAGGAACACUGGCGGAGCGCAUGCGUGCCGGCGGCGCGGGCAUCCCUGCCUUCUACACGGCGACGGCGUACGGCACGCAGCGUCAGACAGGAGGGCAGAUUAUCCGGUACGACAAGAACGGCGUGCCGUGUGUCAUCUCGGAGCCGAAGGAGACGCGGCAGUUCGGGAAUCGGUGGUACGUUCUGGAGAAGACGAUCCGGCCGGAUUACGCGAUUGUGAAGGCGCUGAAGGCGGACAAGAGCGGCAACCUUGUGUUCCGCGGGACUGCGCGCAACUUCAACAUCCCCGCUGCGCAGUGUGGGCGGCGCGUGAUCGCGGAAGUGGAGCAGGUAGUAGAGAACGGCGAAAUCCACCCGGACGACGUGCACUUGCCUGGCGUGUACGUGCACCGCGUUGUGCAGGCGUCGUACGAGGUGCCCAUCGAGAAGCGAACGGUGUCCGGUAGCGGCGCAGAGCCGAGCAGCGUGAACCCGAACGACGACCGCCAGAAGAUCGCGCGGCGGGCGGCGCUGGAGUUUGCAGACGGCAUGUAUGCGAACCUCGGCAUCGGCAUCCCGACGGAGGCGGCGAACUAUAUGCCCGCCGGCGUGACGGUGACGCUGCAUUCUGAGAACGGGCUGUUGGGCAUGGGCCCGUUCCCGACAGCGGACAAGGUGAGCGCCGACUGGAUCAAUGCCGGAAAGCAGACGAUCUCCUUCCUGCCGGGAGCAGCGUGCUUCGACAGCGCGACGUCGUUCGCGAUGAUUCGCGGCGGCCACAUGAACCUGACGAUGCUGGGUGCGCUUGAGGUUUCGUCGAACGGCGACCUCGCGAACUGGGGUAUCCCCGGCAAGCUCGUCAACGGCCCUGGUGGUGCGAUGGACCUCGUCGCGAGCGGCUCUCGCGUGGUGGUGACGAUGUCACACUGCAACAAGAGAGGCGACUCGAAGCUUGUGGAGAGGUGUUCGCUGCCCGUGACGGGCCUGCAUUGCGUGACCCGCAUCAUCACGGAAAAAGCCGUGUUUGACGUGAUCGACAAACAUCUCGUGCUGAAGGAGGUCGCGGAGGGUCUGACAGUGGACGACAUCAAGAAGUGCACUGCUGCUCACUUCGAAGUGGACAAGGUGAAACCGAUAGCAUACGCAGCCCCCGUAUCCGGCUAAACGGGUGGGCCAUGCGUAUCUCGCGGCCUGACGGUGCUGAUCGUAUCAUGGAUGACCCUAGAGCGGGAGGCCCUUUUCACCUCGAAGCUGCGAGGCGCCUCUGACUGCUCUCGAUGCCUAUUUAAGCAUUCUAUAUAUUCUCCGACGCCGCGGAGCAUACCUUG